AGCUCUCUUAUUCAGUUCGUUUCCAGUAAAUAUUGAGCAGUGAUGCGCACUUUGAUCGGUUCUGAAAUAUUCUUGUGAUGUGUUUAGGCUUAAGCUACUUUUUGAAUCUUCAUCUUAUAUUUUUUUACUUACAUUUUUGGAAAUGGGUGAAGCGAGUAUUUCGUUUUCAAGUUGAUUUUUCGCUAGUUUGAGUUUGUUUCCUCCGGUGUAGCUCUUUCUCGAAUUUUUCUGGUUAUUGUGCUUAUUUCAACUCUUGUUUGCUUACUUGUUAAUCGCUUUGAAACUACUUCAUCUGUUGUCAUGUGUUUAGAGGAUGUCGAAGUAGUUAUCUAGUCAUUUCUUGUACCUAUUUUUGUCCUGGUCAAGUCUAAAUCUCAUUAUGUUUGGCUUGUGGGGCUUAUUCCAUGUUUCGGAUAUUUCGGUUUUGUUCAAAUUGUUGACAAUGUUGUUCUUGUUUUCCAUAAAAAAAUAAAAUCAUAGUGAUGGGUGAAGUGUCGAUUUCGAUCUUAUCUUCUCAUUUGUUUCAGUUUUUUUUUAGUGUGUAGAUGAUUACAAAAUGACCUCAGAAUUACUAUCUUUUAAUCACAAAGGAAAUGCAUUGUGGCCUUUUUUUUAGUUCUUUUAAAGGGGUCUUAAGUUAUAUUUCCUUAAUUUUACCUCAUGAUCUAACCCUCCUUUUCUACACACAAUCUUGCAUAGCUCCUUUGUUAAGUUUAUUAGAUUUGUUUUGUGCCUUCUGCAUAAUUGCUUAAAUGAUGGAAAACGGGUUUCAGUCCGUGAAUGAAAGUUCCUCGAGUCAUUUUUUUAAAAUGCGUGUUAAAUCCUAGUGCACAUUGCGAAAUCUCGGAAAUUUUCUUUUCAUUACGUUAUUGCCUAAUUUAAGUACAAACCCGUGCUUUACUAGCUUUUGUGCUCAUGCAAUUGUGUAUAUUGUGAUUCGAGAUUUUGAAUUACGGACCUGAAAAUAAUGGUAUUAAUUCGUGUUAAAAAUUGGCUCUCUAGAAUGCACCCAUUAAAAUCCUUGUUAUUAUAGGAAUUUACUCAAACUUUUAAAUUCGCCAUAAGUUGUCUGUUGGGGUGGUAUAAGUUGUCUGUUGUGGUGGCUUGGAUGUGUAAUUUUGUAUGAUCUAUUCUAAAAUUAAACUAUUAUAAUAUCUUUCAUUUUUUAUUUUAUCCAAGUUUGGUUUACUGUUUAGAUCACUUGCCAUGAAUUAGUGUUGUUGUUUGUCCUUUUAUUUUAUUUUAUUUUAAGUGUCAUAUAUCUUGUCCUAUGAUUUCCUUUCUUGCCCUUGUAAUUGGUUUUAGUUGGUCAAUCAUAUGGACAUUUGUCAAAUAGUUACAUGCGGCUUUCUUAAGUUCAGUUAUUGCUGAUGUUUGAACGGCUGCUACUUCUUGUCUUGGGCUUAUAAUUGUGUUCUUAUGAGCGACAUUUCUUUAUAUCCAUUUACCUGAUUCUAAUCCUAACCAAGUGUUUUGCUCUCUGUGGGAUGCUUAGGCAGUAGUAUUUUUGGUUAUUUUAUUCUUUUGUAUCAAGCUGUUAUGAACAAUUACUUAUAAGUUUAUUCAUUUUUGUUGCAUGUGAAAUUGGCCCGAGUUCACCACGAACUCCUAUCCUCUCCCUUGCAUUUUCGAGAAAGCCAUAAAGGCUCAAAUUCCUCUUAUCGAGUCAGCCGACAAGAAAUUUAAAGAACUAGCCAUUAAAAAUUGACGAACAGGUCUCGAGGUUGAAAGGAGCAACCGAUUGAGAAAUUUGAAAAGAUUAGGCCGAAGGCCCACUCUUAAUUCAUAAUAGUUGUAUUUUGUUAUUUUGGGCCUAAGCCCUCGUCAUUUCAAUUGUUAUUGUUGUAUUAGUUUAGGACAGGAGGAAGAAUUGGGACUAAUGCCCAAAAGAUAGAAAAUACUUCUAUUAUGCUAGAAUAGGACAGGUGCAAAUGACUUAAAUGGGCCGAAGGCCCAAAACAAAAAUGGGCCCAAAUACUGGUCCAGGCAGACUGAAACCAGAUUUGGGUCCAACUCUCUUUCCCUCUUCAUCUUAAUU
rnacentral:lncRNA from 1 species